UGCUUAGUAUAUUAACGGCGAACGGCUCAGUAAUGUUGCGAUGAUUUAGUCUUUUUAAAAGAAAAUAACCACGGUAAGCUGUGGCUAAUAAUAAAGAAUAAGUCGCAACCCUAUCAGUUAGUUGGUAGUGUAAAGGACUACCAAGACAAUGACGGGUGACGGGAAAUUAGGGUUUUAUUCCGGAGAGGGAGCCUGAGAGAU
rnacentral:rRNA from 1 species